GCUAAACCAACCCUUAGCGUAAACAAAGAUUCCUAAACAAAACAAAAACGUAAACAAAGAAAAGCCCGCUGUCGCUAUUUCCUGGUGUCUGCAGCCCAUUCUCGCACGGAUUCUUGGAGUUCAAUUGGGUCCCAAUUCCAAGCUCUCCCUCACGAGCUCUCCGUAUCCUUGAUCACCGACCUCUAACCGCAGGUGAAUACCCUUCUGGUUUUUGGGUGUUUUGAAGUCAAUAGCAAAUGUUGUUGUGUUGGAAUUGGCAACGCUCAUUAUGCGGGUUAGCUAUCAGCUAGACAUAAGUUAGCACAGCCCAUGAAGUAUCAGGAUAUUAUCAGUUCUCUCUUAGCCUACUCAACUCCAUUAUGGGCAACGUUGCUGGCCGUCGUUUUUGUGGUUAUAACACUUGCCUUGUCAUUUUACCUUUUGUUCGAGCACCUUUCUGCAUACAAGAACCCUGAGGAGCAAAAGUUUUUAAUUGGAGUUAUCCUAAUGGUUCCUUGUUAUGCCAUAGAAUCGGUGAGUUGUCUUAUUUGAAUUAUUUUACUGAAGUUAAAAUCUUGAAUACUUAUAGACAUGUAUCUUGUUUUAUUAUUAUUUAAGAAUUGCUCGAAAACAAAAUCUCUGCCUUAACUGUUUUAUUAAAAUUGGUUGGUGGUGAGGGGAAUAAGUUUCCAGGAUGAUGAUCGGAGGAAUGUGGAAUGUUCUUUGCGAUUGUCACAAAAAAAAGAUGUAUUUGGCAGCUGAUUACUUAUUUAUUUAUUUUUAUAACCUUGGUGUUUUAAACAGUUUGCGUCGCUGGUGAAUCCAUCAAUUAGUGUUGAUAUUGAGAUACUACGGGACUGCUAUGAAUCAUUUGCCAUGUAUUGCUUUGGAAGAUACCUUGUUGCUUGCUUGGGUAUGUCCUUUAUGGGAGUUGUUGCUAUGAAGGUUUCUGAUAUGCAAUUCCUUGUAUUUCUUAUUAUGUGUGCUUAUAUUUCUAAACUCUGUCUGGAAUUAAUUGUUUAUAUACUUUUGGUAAGUGUUGAAUAUCUAAAAUCCUGAUAGAUUGAUAUUUUUAUUUUUCCAGAAUCAAUAUUUCUACAUUUAUUUUCAAAAGAACUGUUGUGUAAGUCAAAAUCUGUAGGUUAUUGUAACAGAUAGUUGCAGUUUCCAGCUAUAGUUGCACCAAAAAUGGGGUAGUCCAUAUUGUUGGGUUCUAAAAACUUAAGAUGGCCAUCAUGGUAUGUGUGUGUGAGUUUAAAGACUACAGAAUUAAAAAGCAGGUUUAAUGAUAAAAUAAUUAAAUGGUAUUUUUUUAUAAACCUGAGCCAAAUAAUUUGAUUAUAUUGUGCUACAUGCAAGAUUGUGAUACUGUGGUUUCCUUUGAAAUGUGCAGAUAUUAAAGCAUGCCUUAAUACUUUUUUUAUGCUGCAGCUAAUGUAUAAGGGCAAUGGUCACAUAUGAUCUAAUCUUAGCCUAAAGCUGGGAGAAAUUUGCUAGUUUUUUAGUUUUGUCAGUCUACCAUUGUGCAACAAUAAAUAAGUGCAACUUGUGUUUGGAUUAGUAUCUCUUAAUAAAAUUUCUCUCAUUUUAUAUGUAGAUUUAUUUGUUUUAAAAAGUGGGAGGGUUUUGGUUGGAAAAGUGCAACUUCAUUUAUGUGUAUGAAUGAAAGACUGUAUUUGAUUCUAUAACUGCCAAGCCAAGGUAAGUUUGGAUUGUUGUUUGGAUUAGUUCUUCAGAUUUAUGAUCAUAAAUACAGAAUGUUCUUUUUUUCCAAGAUUUUAUUUGAUGUUCUCUUCUGCUGUUGAUAUUGUUAUUGCUGGCUUUUCAUUUUUCUAUUCUCUUUCAAAGGUGGGGAAGAAAGAACUAUAGAAUUUAUGGAAAGACAAGGACGUGUAAGUUCUAAGACUCCCCUUUUGGAACAUUGUUAUGAGAAUGGAAUUGUAAAGCAUCCUUUUCCAAUGAAUUAUAUCUUGAAACCUUGGAAGCUGGGUCAGUGGUUUUAUCAAGUUGUCAAGUUUGGAAUUGUUCAAUAUGUAUGUUCACUUCUCAAGAAAUUUGAUGUUUUGCUUAUGACCUUCAUUUUCAGUUGUUGCUUCCUUCUUAGCUUGAAAAAAUGAUAAGUUACUUUUUAUGUCAGAUGCUAAUCAAGUCUUUGAGUGCAAUAUUAGCAGUAGUUCUUGAAGCCUUUGGUAUAUAUUGUGAAGGGGAAUUUAAAGUGGGAUGUGGGUAAGCUGAUCUUAAUUAUUCUCUCAUUUUUUAUUGCAUAAUAUUAGCUUUCUUUUGCUGUGGGUUAGGUUUCUUUGAACUUUUUCUUUUGCAUAAGGGCAUGUGGGAGAUUGUAUCUUGUGGAUUUCUCAUGAUACAUAGAUAUGCAUAAAUCCUCUGCUUUCUCUCUCUCUCUCUCCCAUAUGUAUAUCUAUUGCUUUUAGCCAUUUUUUUCAUGAUAUCAUCCUUUUCUUUUCCCUCUUUUGUUUUUCUUUGAAUGACAAAAAUAAGAUUCCUCAUGUGCUUAUAUGCCAAGAGUAGAGGGUCAUGCAUCCCUUAGCUAACUUCAACUAGUUUGGGAUAGCGCUUAGUUUAGCUGAUUUAUUGAAAGGAUAUGAUUUUAUCUUUUACAUGGAACUACAAACAAAGAGAAAUUUUAAUCAUUCUAGAUGAAUAAAUUUUAAUCAUUCUAGAAGAAUAAUUAUAGAUGUGAAACUUGCGGCAUGCUUCCAAGCACUGUGCUAUUAGAAUGGGAAAAUGAUAGUUAACACUUUCACAAUGGAUUCAUCAUUUACAAUAGUUCUAUUUUUAUUUCUCAAUGACAUCUCACAAUCAAGGUUAGUUGGCUGAUCGCCUGAUCCUGUGAACAAUUUCAUAGAAUUUCAUUGAUAUCUUGUUUCUACAAAGAUAAUUCUAUUGUUUCUAGCGUUAUUAUAAUUUGUGCAAUGUUAUUUCAGUUGUUAUUGCAAGAAUUUGUUUUCAAAUGUUUAGUAUUCUUCACACUUCUAAACUGCCAAAUAUUCAUCAGUGAGUAAACUCUUCUGAACGAGUACCUGCUAUGAAUAUGAAAGCUCUAAUUACCUUGAAUUCCCUGUAUGAAAUUUCUAAUUGACUUAGCCUUCCUGAUUUUUUAGGUAUCCUUACAUGGCAGUGGUUCUAAACUUCAGCCAGUCAUGGGCUUUGUACUGUUUAGUUCAAUUUUACACUGCCACAAAGGAUGAACUGGCACACAUAAAGCCAUUAUACAAGUUCCUGACAUUUAAAUCUAUUGUGUUUUUGACUUGGUGGCAAGGAGUGGCAAUUGCUCUUCUCUACUCCCUUGGUUUAUUCAAAAGUCCAAUAGCUCAAGGCUUGCAAUUUAAGUCGAGUGUUCAGGACUUCAUCAUUUGUAUAGAGCAAGAAGAAAAAAAUUCUGCUCCUUCUCUGGAAAUAUCCGAGACUUGACAAGUUCUGCAUGGAUGAAAUCAUGGAUUGUCAACUGUUAGAACAAGCUUAUGGGGGUCAGCACAAAUAUAAGGAAGCAGCAUGUACUGUUCUAUGUAGGGUUGGUGCAGCAUGGCCCCAGUUUUGAAAGAAGACGAUGUUGAUUGUGUGAGAGGAGCCUGCUAUUAUAUUCUGCACAAGAAUAGGAGGGAGAGUUAAUCAGUUUGGAAACUGUAAAGACAACUAAUUGAUUCUGUGGGGAUUAAAUUAUACAGCUUUGCUGAGUUUUCAUUUGGAUAGAUGGGGUUUUGAAAUGAUGGGUAUAGAAUUUGACAGUGUGUUGAUGUUUUCUAAUUUUUCUCUUGGAAAAUAAAUCCAGCUUCAUUUCAACUGCAAUGUGGUCUUCUAAAAUGUAGGAUUGGUGCAACUAGCUGAAACAAAGAAUGCGGUUUGAUUAGUGAAGCAUAUAAAUAGUCCUGCAUUCUUAUAUUGUAGAAGGUGAUGGUCAAAGGGUGGUUCCAGUGUCCUUGGGCUUUAACCUAACUGGUAAAGGGGGGUUGAUAGCGUUUGGAUAUUCUUUAAAUUUUAAUUUUAUUUAGGAAAAAGAAAAUAAUUUCUGAGUGGAUAAGGUUGGAUGUAGGAUGUCAUUAUUUGAUGACUGAAUAGACUAAAAUGUUGAACAUAUGGCUUUGCAUCUCUUUUCUCGGGUAUAUACUGAUAGUUGUUGAUUUAUUUGUAAUGGUUUAAAUUCAUGUUAGAGAACAUGAUAUGGAGCAACCUGGCUCUUUUUGUUGUUAUAUGGAUCUCAAAUUCUCAAUCCUAUUGCCUUCUGUUUUGGUAUGCUUAAAGGAAAAACCUGCUGCCAUGGGUACUGGCAUGAAAAUGUAUUAUUGGAGUCAAAUUUGUAUCAAAUUCACCUAAUUUGGUUGAUGCAAAAAUUUAAGUAAUUAUUUUUUAGGAAUUGAAGGAAAGGGUUACAUUUUUGGGCCUAGUCAUAGUUACUAACAGUUCUUAUCCUUUUCAAUGAGGAGUUGCUGGUGAACAUUGCCAUAUGAAUUUCUGUCUUUCAGUGUGAUCUGAUGGAUGUCAUUAUCAGUAAAGGCUUAGAUAAAGUUACUUAUGAUAACUAAGCUAAAAUCAGGAGUUGUGAAAUGAACUUCAUCUUUUGGCUUCCUGUCUUUUCUGCUGCAUGAUGAAUAUAGAUACUAAUGGUUGAAAUUACCUAGUUAGGUUUCACUCGUGUAUUCUUUAAACUAGUCUCUGGAGCGUUAUAGAUGAAUAUCAUAUGGAUUUCUGCAAUAAUGUCUGCAACUCUAUAACUCUCGUUUCUGUAACUCUAUGACUCUCGUUCAAUCCAUUAAAGUAUAACAGGUCUAUUUAUUCAUCCAGCACAGAUGGGCAUUGCUUCUAUUGUUCACCUGUAUGUGUUCCCUGCCAAGCCUUAUGAGCUGAUGGGUGACUGCUUUCCUGGAACUGUUUCAGUUCUUGGAGAUUAUGCAUCUGUUGAUUGCCCUCUAGAUCCAGAUGAGGUUAGAGAUAGUGAAAGACCCACGAAGUUACGCCUUCCUCCGCCUGACUUUGAUGUCAAGAGUGGAAUGAACAUCAAAGAAAGUGUUCGGGAUGUUGUUGUUGGUGGUGGUGGAUAUGUGUUGAAUCUGCUGUUUAUCUUCUACGCAGAUUGUGAAUGAUGUGAAGUUUACUGUUAACCAAGCAGUGGAGCCUGUGGAAAAGGGUAUUACAAAGUUCAAUGAGAAAUUGCAUAAGAUUUCUCAAAAUUUAAAGAGACAUGACCAGGAUAGGAGGAGAACAAAGGAUGACAGUUGCAUAUCUUCGCCCACACGGAAGGUGAUUCGUGGGAUAGAUGAUCCUCUCUUACAUGGCAGUUACAGCGACAGUGGGGUAGCAAGGGGAAAGAAACAUCGCAGCAAAUCAGGAUAUACCAGUGGAGAGAGUGGGGGAGAAAGUAGUAGCGAUCAAAGCUAUGGUGGCUAUCAGAUCAGGGGCCGUAGAUGGGUUAUAAAAGAUUAGCAUUUUGAAUGGAGAAGAGGAUCAAAUCCAAAUGGUGCAUGUAUCCAUCUAAGUAGCCUAAGAAACCAUUUUCAUCUCAUUGGCUGGCUGUUGGUAUCCAUGUGCAGGAAUAUUUUACUUCUUCACAAGGAGAUUUAUGGUUUUAGUUAUGAUUUUUCUUCUUGUGAAGAGUUUCACAUCAAGUGCUGAGGUAUGAUGUGCCCUGGGUAGAUUGGGUUUUUAAAAAGAUGUAGUAGUUUCCAUAAGACUUGCUUGGCUGUGAAAACCAGCUUCAUGACUAAGAUAACCUUUCUUGCACUGCCCAAUGUCCAUACGCAAAUUGUUGUAUGCUGUAUGCUGUAUACUGUAUUUUCUACCGAACUAUAUUGUUGCUUGAUGGAAAAUUUAUAUUCAUUGAAUUGUAGACAUUUCAGAUUAAGGUGUCUAUUCUGUUAAUGAAUUCAUCCAUCUU
rnacentral:misc_RNA from 1 species